rnacentral:rRNA from 1 species
UACGAAGGGUGCAAGCGUUACUCGGAAUUACUGGGCGUAAAGCGUGCGUAGGUGGUUCGUUAAGUCUGAUGUGAAAGCCCUGGGCUCAACCUGGGAAUGGCAUUGGAUACUGGCGACCUAGAGUGCGGUAGAGGGGUGUGGAAUUCCCGGUGUAGCAGUGAAAUGCGUAGAUAUCGGGAGGAACAUCAGUGGCGAAGGCGGCCUUCUGGUCCAGUACUGACACUCAAGUGCGAAAGCGUGGGGAGCAAACAGG